UCAAAUGCUAGCAGAGAAACAAGCCAGCACAUCUGACUCCAGUCUCCUUCUGGUAGAGGACUUCUUUGUACCACACGUGCUAGGAAAGUGUAGGCAUCACCCUCACUGCUCCCACAGCUUCCGUUCCUGGGAGCUCUUUGGGGCAAAGGAUGGCAGAAUGGCAAAUGCUGAUGGCUGCAGCUCGUUCCUAAUCAGUUGCUGGGCCAUCUCCUCCAAUGUCCAAGACCACCAUAACGCACUGUGUGAGAAGAAAACACUAUGGAUUUGAAUGUGGCUGCCCCACUGAAACCAGGGGACAUCAGAGCUGGUGUCAAACAUGCACCGGUUGGUCUGUGCCACGGAGAGAUUUGUCCAUCCCCGCGGCUGAGCUGUGAAACGCCCUGGGGCGAACCAGCAGACAACAAAAGCUGAAGUCAAAGUACAAGAAUCUGGCACGCACUGAGGCCAGUGGGAAGGCUUUACAACUAUGUUUUAUACCCUGCAAGCGCUCUUGCUUUCUGCUCUGUUCAGCACUCCCUUGGCUCCCCAGCACACGUGGUGCACGGAGCAGUGUGCCAAUAGACUCUCUCCAGCCCAGCUGAAAUAUUAUUUCCAAGUUGGCUACAAGGAUUGUUUUAUUUUUCUUAUGUGUUUUUUCAUCUUUUCUCCUGCAGGUGCUGAGAAAAUGCAGUAUUUCCCUAUAGGAACCUUCUAUGUCCACGUUGGUCCUCUCAUGGUGAAGGGACAACGUGGCAAUCGGAGAAUAUCCCUUUCCUCUACAGACAUCCCCUCUGCAAUGUGCUGGAGAAUGCUGCAUCCUCAAGGAUGCCUCCUGCAGCUCAGCUGUGCUGUUUAGAUGACUGAACAUGGGCAGAGGAAGGAGCCACCGGGAAAUGGCUUUUCUUGGUGGACAAAUGGUAACGUCACAUCUAGGCAUGAUGAGUCCACGUGAAAUCGGAAUAAACUGGCAAAAUACUUCGUUUUGA